UACGUAGGGUGCAAGCGUAAUCGGAAUUACUGGGCGUAAAGCGUGCGCAGGCGGUGAUGUAAGACAGAUGUGAAAUCCCCGGGCUCAACCUGGGAACUGCAUUUGUGACUGCAUCGCUGGAGUACGGCAGAGGGGGAUGGAAUUCCGCGUGUAGCAGUGAAAUGCGCAGAUAUCAGGAAGAACACCCGUGGCGAAAGCGGCUCUCUGGAACGGUACUGACGCUGAGACGCGAAAGCGUGGGGAGCGAACAGG
rnacentral:rRNA from 1 species